rnacentral:rRNA from 1 species
UAUGAAUAAUACGUGGCGAACGGCUCAGUAACACGUAGUCAACAUGCCCAGAGGACGUGGAUAACCUCGGGAAACUGAGGAUAAACCACGAUAGGUCAUAAUAUCUGGAAUGAUUUAUGGCUAAAAUCUACAUGGCCCCUGGAUUGGACUGCGGCCGAUCAGGCUGUUGGUGAGGUAAUGGCCCACCAAACCUAAAACCGGUACGGGCUCUGAGAGGAGAAGCCCGGAGAUGGGCACUGAGACAAGGGCCCAGGCCCUAUGGGGCGCAGCAGGCGCGAAAACUCUGCAAUAAGCGAAAGCUUGACAGGGUUAUUCUGAGUGAUUUCCGCUAAGGAAAUCUUUUGGCACCUCUAAAAAUGGUGCAGAAUAAGGGGUGGGCAAGCCUGGUGUCAGCCGCCGCGGUAAUACCAGCACCCCGAGUGGUCGGGACGAUUAUUGGGCCUAAAGCAUCCGUAGCCGGUACUGCAAGUCUUCCGUUAAAUCCACCUGCUUAACAGUUGGGCUGCGGAGGAUACUAUGGAGCUAGGAGGCGGGAGAGGCAAGCGGUACUUAGUGGGUAGGGGUAAAAUCCGUUGAUCCACUGAAGACCACCAGUGGCGAAGGCGGCUUGCCAGAACGCGCUCGACGGUGAGGGAUGAAAGCUGGGGGAGCAAACCGGAUUAGAUACCCGGGUAGUCCCAGCUGUAA